rnacentral:rRNA from 1 species
UACGUAGGGUGCGAGCGUUAAUCGGAAUUACUGGGCGUAAAGCGUGCGCAGGCGGUUUUGUAAGCCAGAUGUGAUAUCCCCGGGCUCAACCUGGGAAUGGCAUUUGGGACUGCAAGGCUGGAGUACGGCAGAGGAGACUGGGAAUUCCUGGUGUAGCAGUGAAAUGCGUAGAUAUCAGGAGGAAUACCGAUGGCGAAGGCAGGUCUCUGGGGCUGAUACUGACGCUCAUGCACGAAAAGCGUGGGGGAGCGAAACAACGGAUUGAUGAAACCCC